ACACGGCCCAGACUCCUACGGGAGGCAGCAGUGGGGAAUUUUCCGCAAUGGGCGCAAGCCUGACGGAGCAACGCCGCGUGAGGGACGAAGGCCUCUGGGCUGUAAACCUCUUUUCUCAAGGAAGAAGACAUGACGGUACUUGAGGAAUAAGCCACGGCUAAUUCCGUGCCAGCAGCCGCGGUAAUACGGGAGUGGCAAGCGUUAUCCGGAAUUAUUGGGCGUAAAGCGUCCGCAGGCGGCCUUGAAAGUCUGUUGUUAAAGCGUGGAGCUCAACUCCAUUUCAGCAAUGGAAACUACAAGGCUAGAGUGUGGUAGGGGCAGAGGGAAUUCCCGGUGUAGCGGUGAAAUGCGUAGAUAUCGGGAAGAACACCAGUGGCGAAGGCGCUCUGCUGGGCCAUAACUGACGCUCAUGGACGAAAGCCAGGGGAGCGAAAGGGAUUAGAUACCCCUGUAGUCCUGGCCGUAAACGAUGAACACUAGGUGUCGGGAGAAUUAACCCUUUCGGUGUCGUAGCCAACGCGUUAAGUGUUCCGCCUGGGGAGUACGCACGCAAGUGUGAAACUCAAAGGAAUUGACGGGGGCCCGCACAAGCGGUGGAGUAUGUGGUUUAAUUCGAUGCAACGCGAAGAACCUUACCAGGGUUUGACAUCCUGCGAAUCCCUUGGAAACCUGGGAGUGCCUUCGGGAGCGCAGUGACAGGUGGUGCAUGGCUGUCGUCAGCUCGUGUCGUGAGAUGUUGGGUUAAGUCCCGCAACGAGCGCAACCCACGUCUUUAGUUGCCAGCAUUCAGUUGGGCACUCUAGAGAGACCGCCGGUGAUAAACCGGAGGAAGGUGUGGAUGACGUCAAGUCAUCAUGCCCCUUACAUCCUGGGCUACACACGUACUACAAUGCUACGGACAAAGGGCAGCAAACUCGCGAGAGCUAGCAAAUCCCAUAAACCGUGGCUCAGUUCAGAUCGUAGGCUGCAACUCGCCUACGUGAAGGAGGAAUCGCUAGUAAUCGCAGGUCAGCAUACUGCGGUGAAUACGUUCCCGGGCCUUGUACACACCGCCCGUCACACCAUGGAAGUUGGCCAUGCCCGAAGUCGUUACUCCAACCCGCAAGGGAGGAGGACGCCGAAGGUGGGGCUGAUGACUGGGGUGAAGUCGAAACAAGGUAGCCGUACCGGAAGGUGCGGCUG
rnacentral:rRNA from 1 species